rnacentral:rRNA from 1 species
AUUGAACGCUGGCGGCAUGCCUAACACAUGCAAGUCGAACGGCAGCACAGUAACAAUUUUCUCUUCCGGUUGCCAACUGGUGGGUAAUACAUGGAAACGUCCGCAUUCGCUUUUUCUAAGGCGGCAACGUCUGUGCUCUUACCGCAAUCCCUCUUCCGAUGCACGCGGGAGAGCGCGGGAUCUUGGGCCCAUGCACCAGCCGAUGACCCGAUGUCUCAUUAGUUAGUUGGCGGGGUAAAGGCCCACCAAUGCGUCGAUCCGUAGCUGGUCUGAGAGGAUGAUCAGCCACACUGGGACUGAGACACGGUCCAGACUCCUACGGGAGGCAGCAGUGGGGAAUAUUGGACAAUGGGCGAAAGCCUGAUCCAGCCAUCCCGCGUGAACGAUGAAGGCCUUCGGGUUGUAAACCGCUUUUGUCAGGAACGAAAAGCACCCUGUUAAUACCGCACUUUUAUGACGGUACCGUAAGAAUAAGCACCGGCUAACUUCGUG